AUUGAACGCUGGCGGCAGGCCUAACACAUGCAAGUCGAGCGGAACGGCGGACGGGUGAGUAAUGCCUAGGAAUCUGCCUGGUAGGGGGGGAUAACGUCCGGAAACGGGCGCUAAUACCGCAUACUAUCACAUGAGCCUAGGCAGGAUUAGCUAGUUGGUGGGGUAAAGGCCAAAAAAGGCGACGGUCCGUAACUGGUCUGAGAGGAGGAUCAGUCACACUGGAACGGAGAAACGGUCAAGAAUCCUACGGGAGGCAGAAGUGGGGAAUAUUGGACAAUUGGCGAAAGCCUGAUACAGCCAUGCCGCGUGUGUGAAGAAGGUCUUCGGGUUGUAAAGCACGUUAAGUUGGGAGGAGUUACCAGCAGAAGCAGCACCGGCUAACUUCGUGCCAGCAGCCGCGGUAAUAC
rnacentral:rRNA from 1 species